GCGAGCGUAGCCAAGUGGUUAAGGCAGUGGUUUGUGGUACCACCAUUCGUGGGUUCAAUUCCCAUCAUUCGCC
rnacentral:tRNA from 1 species